GAUGAACGCUGGCGGCGUGCCUAAUACAUGCAAGUCGAGCGAACAGACGAGGAGCUUGCUCCUCUGACGUUAGCGGCGGACGGGUGAGUAACACGUGGAUAACCUACCUAUAAGACUGGGAUAACUUCGGGAAACCGGAGCUAAUACCGGAUAAUAUAUUGAACCGCAUGGUUCAAUAGUGAAAGACGGUUUUGCUGUCACUUAUAGAUGGAUCCGCGCCGCAUUAGCUAGUUGGUAAGGUAACGGCUUACCAAGGCAACGAUGCGUAGCCGACCUGAGAGGGUGAUCGGCCACACUGGAACUGAGACACGGUCCAGACUCCUACGGGAGGCAGCAGUAGGGAAUCUUCCGCAAUGGGCGAAAGCUUGACGGAGCAACGCCGCGUGAGUGAUGAAGGUCUUCGGAUCGUAAAACUCUGUUAUUAGGGAAGAACAAAUGUGGAAGUAACUAUGCACGUCUUGACGGUACCUAAACAGAAAGCCACGGCUAACUACGUG
rnacentral:rRNA from 1 species